AUGGACCGCAAGUGUAAGGAGAGGUCCACUGAAGAUGGGAGCGAUAAAGAGGACCUUGACUCCACGGAAGCCCUGGCCCGGAUUCGGGACACCCCAGAAGACAUUGUGCUGGAAGCACCGGCCAGUGGGCUGGCGUUUCAUCCGGCCCACAACCUACUGGCUGCAGGGGACAUGGAUGGAGUGUUUGUCUUUUCCUACUCUUGCCAAGAGAGAGAAACCAAGGAGCUGUGGUCAUCAGGUCACCAUCUGAAGUCCUGCCGAGCUGUGGUCUUUUCUGAAGAUGGGCAGAAACUUGUUACUGUCUCCAAGGACAAAGCCAUCCAUGUUCUAGAUGUGGAGCAGGGCCAAAUAGAAAGACGUAUUUCCAAAGCUCAUGGUGCCCCCAUUAACAGUCUGUUGCUGGUGGAUGAGAAUAUUUUGGCCACAGGGGACGAUACAGGUUGUAUCUGUCUAUGGGACCAGCGGAAGGAGGGCCCCUUAAUGGCUAUGCAGCAGCAUGAGGAAUACAUUGCAGACAUGGCUUUGGAUCCAGCCAAGAAUUUGCUUUUGACAGCCAGUGGAGAUGGCUGCCUUGGUGUCUUCAACAUCAAGAGAUGCCAGUUUGAGCUGCUCUCACAGCCUCAGUCUGGGGACCUGACCUCUGUCACCCUCAUGUAAUCUGGGAAGAAGGUCACCUGUGGCUCCAGUGAAGGUACCAUCUACCUCUUCAAAUGGAAUGGCUUUCGGGCCACAAGUGAUGGCUUUGCCCUGAGAGUUGAGUCCACUGACUGCAUGGUUCCAGUCACUGAGAGUCUACUGUGUAUUGGCUCUACCGAUGGAAUAAUCAGGGCUGUGAACAUCCUGCCAAACCAAGUGGUGGGCAGUGUGGGUCAGCAUGCUGGGGAGCCUGUGGAAGAGCUGGCCCUUUCCCACUGUGGCCGCUUCCUGGCCAGUAGUGGCCAUGACCAACGCCUCAAGUUUUGGGACUUGACCCAGCUGCGAACUGUGGUGGUGAAUGGCUACCGUCAGCGCAAAAAAAAGGGAGGGCUGCUGUGUGCCCUGAGUAGCAAGGCUUGGAGCACUGAUGACUUCUGUGUAGGACUGAGGGAAGAGGGAGAAGACACUGUGGCUUGGCAGGAAGAUGAAGAGGAGAGUGAGGACACUGUGGCUUGGCAGGAAGAUGAAGAGGGAGUGACUGAGGGUAUGAACUGA